UACGGAAGGUCCGGGCGUUAUCCGGAUUUAUUGGGUUUAAAGGGAGCGUAGGCCGGAGAUUAAGCGUGUUGUGAAAUGUAGAUGCUCAACGUCUGCACUGCAGCGCGAACUGGUUUCCUUGAGUACGCACAAAGUGGGCGGAAUUCGUGGUGUAGCGGUGAAAUGCUUAGAUAUCACGAAGAACUCCGAUUGCGAAGGCAGCUCACUGGAGCUCAACUGACGCUGAAGCUCGAAAGUGCGGGUAUCGAACAGG
rnacentral:rRNA from 1 species